CCUACGGGCGGCAGCAGUGAGGAAUAUUGGUCAAUGGGCGGGAGCCUGAACCAGCCAAGCCGCGUGAGGGAAGAAGGUACAGCGGAUCGUAAACCUCUUUUGUCAGGGAACAAAGGCGGGGACUAGUCCCCGGAUGAGGGUACCUGAAGAAAAAGCAUCGGCUAACUCCGUGCCAGCAGCCGCGGUAAUACGGAGGAUGCGAGCGUUUUCCGGAUUUAGUGGGUUUAAAGGGUGCGUAGGCUGUGAGGUAAGUCAGCGGUGCAAUGCCCCCCCUCCACGGGGUGAAGGGCCAUUGAUACUGCCUUGCUGGACUGCGUCUGCCGUGGGCGGACUGUGUGGUGUAGCGGUGACAUGCCUAGAUAUCACACAGAACACCGAUUGCGAAGGCAUCUCACGCAUCCGCGAUUGACGCUGAUGCACGAAAGCGUGGGUAUCAAACAGGAUUAGAUACCCCUGUAGUC
rnacentral:rRNA from 1 species